UACAGAGGUCUCAAGCGUUGUUCGGAUUCAUUGGGCGUAAAGGGUGCGUAGGCGGCGCGGUAAGUCGGGUGUGAAAUCUCGGAGCUUAACUCCGAAACUGCAUUCGAUACUGCCGUGCUUGAGGACUGGAGAGGAGACUGGAAUUUACGGUGUAGCGGUGAAAUGCGUAGAUAUCGUAAGGAAGACCAGUGGCGAAGGCGGGUCUCGU
rnacentral:rRNA from 1 species